rnacentral:rRNA from 1 species
GACGAACGCCUUCGGCGUGCUUAACACAUGCAAGUCGAACGGAAAGGCCCUGCUUUUGUGGGGUGCUCGAGUGGCGAACGGGUGAGUAACACGUGAGUAACCUGCCCUUGACUUUGGGAUAACUUCAGGAAACUGGGGCUAAUACCGGAUAGGAGCUCCUGCUGCAUGGUGGGGGUUGGAAAGUUUCGGCGGUUGGGGAUGGACUCGCGGCUUAUCAGCUUGUUGGUGGGGUAGUGGCUUACCAAGGCUUUGACGGGUAGCCGGCCUGAGAGGGUGACCGGCCACAUUGGGACUGAGAUACGGCCCAGACUCCUACGGGAGGCAGCAGUGGGGAAUAUUGCACAAUGGGCGGAAGCCUGAUGCAGCAACGCCGCGUGCGAGAUGACGGCCUUCGGGUUGUAAACCGCUUUCGCCUGUGACGAAGCGUGAGUGACGGUAAUGGGUAAAGAAGCACCGGCUAACUACGUGCCAGCAGCCGCGGUGAUACGUAGGGUGCGAGCGUUGUCCGGAUUUAUUGGGCGUAAAGGGCUCGUAGGUGGUUGAUCGCGUCGGAAGUGUAAUCUUGGGGCUUAACCCUGAGCGUGCUUUCGAUACGGGUUGACUUGAGGAAGGUAGGGGAGAAUGGAAUUCCUGGUGGAGCGGUGGAAUGCGCAGAUAUCAGGAGGAACACCAGUGGCGAAGGCGGUUCUCUGGGCCUUUCCUGACGCUGAGGAGCGAAAGCGUGGGGAGCGAACAGGCUUAGAUACCCUGGUAGUCCACGCUGUAAACGGUGGGUACUAGGUGUGGGGUCCAUUCCACGGGUUCCGUGCCGUAGCUAACGCUUUAAGUACCCCGCCUGGGGAGUACGGCCGCAAGGCUAAAACUCAAAGGAAUUGACGGGGCCCCGCACAAGCGGCGGAGCAUGCGGAUUAAUUCGAUGCAACGCGUAGAGCCUUACCUGGGUUUGACAUGGAUCGGGAGUGCUCAGAGAUGGGUGUGCCUCUUUUGGGGUCGGUUCACAGGUGGUGCAUGCCUGUCGUCAGCUCGUGUCGUGAGAUGUUGGGUUAAGUCCCGCAACGAGCGCAACCCUUGUUCACUGUUGCCAGCACGUUAUGGUGGGGACUCAGUGGAGACCGCCGGGGUCAACUCGGAGGAAGGUGGGGAUGACGUCAAGUCAUCAUGCCCCUUAUGUCCAGGGCUUCACGCAUGCUACAAUGGCUGGUACAGAGAGUGGCGAGCCUGUGAGGGUGAGCGAAUCUCGGAAAGCCGGUCUCAGUUCGGAUUGGGGUCUGCAACUCGACCUCAUGAAGUCGGAGUCGCUAGUAAUCGCAGAUCAGCAACGCUGCGGUGAAUACGUUCCCGGGGCU